rnacentral:sRNA from 1 species
GACAUUUGUGCGGCCGGUUAUUCACAUCGUAUGAAUUUUAAAAAUCUCAACGCAUCGCCACGAUACGAAAUUGAAAUUUGACAAUUGGAAACGUUAUACGCACUAUGUGCAAGUCGAGAUUGUCACGUUGUUUGAAAUUUGUUCGAAGUGACUCUUCGAAAUUGUAGCUCGUGUUCAGUUUGUUUUUAAAACCGGCUACGACUUGAAGUGAAAGUGAUCGCAGUUUCGGGUUGUCUUUCGAGUGUGGUUUUGCAAAGUGCCAUCAAAUGUGGAAUAUUAUGGCCAAAUAGUUGCAAACAAAAACUGCAAACAACCAAAGCAGUUGAACUCUUCAAGAAAAGUGUUGAGGAAAUGCGUGCGAAGCCAAUUCAAAUAUCUUUGCCCGAGUUAAACUAUCAAACACCACUAUCGCGUCAAAUUCACCUAAACCAUAGACUCGAUGACCACGAACAGGUCGAGGGGUGUGAUAGUAAAUGUGCUAUGAAUGUGAAUAACAAUGACUAUCGAGUGCAACCGGUUCUCAUACGCAAACAACCGAAAUUUCCCACACGUGAACGGCAUUUGGCCAUAAGACGUAAAAAAUCGUCGCUGACAAACUUUGCCUCAGUUUCUUGCAACGGUUACUGCAUUUGCCCCUCUGAUGCGAUGUCUGAAAG